GAUGAACGCUGGCGGCGUGCUUAACACAUGCAAGUCGAACGGAAAGGCCCAAGCUUGCUUGGGUCCUCGAGUGACGAACGGGUGAGUAACACGUGGGUGAUCUGCCCUGCACUUCGGGAUAAGCCUGGGAAACUGGGUCUAAUACCGGAUAGGACGAUGGUUUGGAUGCCAUUGUGGAAAGUUUUUUCGGUGUGGGAUGAGCUCGCGGCCUAUCAGCUUGUUGGUGGGGUAAUGGCCUACCAAGGCGUCGACGGGUAGCCGGCCUGAGAGGGUGUACGGCCACAUUGGGACUGAGAUACGGCCCAGACUCCUACGGGAGGCAGCAGUGGGGAAUAUUGCACAAUGGGCGCAAGCCUGAUGCAGCGACGCCGCGUGGGGGAUGACGGCCUUCGGGUUGUAAACUCCUUUCGCUAGGGACGAAGCGUUUUUGUGACGGUACCUGGAGAAGAAGCACCGGCUAACUACGUG
rnacentral:rRNA from 1 species